rnacentral:rRNA from 1 species
UACGUAGGGGCAAGCGUUGGUUCGGAAUUACUGGGCGUAAAGCGCGCGUAGGCGGUUUGGAAAGUCAGAUGUGAAAGCCCCGGGCUCAACUUGGGAACUGCAUUUGAUACUGCCAGACUAGAGUACAGAAGAGGUGACUGGAAUUCCCAGUGUAGCGGUGAAAUGCGUAGAUAUUGGGAGGAACACCAGAUGCGAAGGCGGGUCACUGGGCUGAUACUGACGCUGAUGCGCGAAAGCCAGGGGAGCGAACGGG